rnacentral:rRNA from 1 species
CAGCGGCGCACGGGUGAGUAACACGUGACUAACCUACCCUCGAGUGGGGAAUAACUUCGGGAAACCGAGGCUAAUACCGCAUAAUACCCACGGGUCAAAGGAGCAAUUCGCUUGAGGAGGGGGUCGCGGCCGAUUAGUUAGUUGGCGGGGUAAUGGCCCACCAAGACGAUGAUCGGUAUCCGGCCUGAGAGGGCGCACGGACACACUGGAACUGAAACACGGUCCAGACUCCUACGGGAGGCAGCAGUGGGGAAUUUUGCGCAAUGGGGGAAACCCUGACGCAGCAACGCCGCGUGGAGGAUGAAGUCCUUCGGGACGUAAACUCCUUUCGAUCGGGACGAUUAUGACGGUACCGAGAGAAGAAGCCCCGGCUAACUUCGUGCCAGCAGCCGCGGUAAUACGAGGGGGGCGAGCGUUGUUCGGAAUUAUUGGGCGUAAAGGGUGCGUAGGCGGUUUGGUAAGUCUUGUGUGAAAUCUAUGGGCUCAACUCAUAGUCUGCACGAGAAACUGCCGGGCUUGAGUGUGGGAGAGGUGAGUGGAAUUUCCGGUGUAGCGGUGAAAUGCGUAGAUAUCGGAAGGAACACCUGUGGCGAAAGCGGCUCACUGGACCACAAC